CAGUGGUUCAGAUAACACGGGAAGCUGCCGUGGCUUCCCGGCACACUGAGAUCCAUCGCUGAGGUUCUUCCAGCAGUGAUGCCGUCCGGGGUCGGAGCCGGAGCCCACAGGCAGCCUGCCCACCAUGCCGGUGUUGAGGGACCUUUGCUGCCUGGGAAGGAGCGGGUGGGCGCUCUCUGUCUGUCAAAGACCCCACAGAUGUGAGCUGCCACCCCGAGCUCUACCACCCGGACUGCAAUGCCAGGCGAGGGUGAAGAUGAGCCUCCAAACAAGGCGCCAGAGUGACCUCACCGAGGUCUGUAACUCUCCGUCCAGCUCCUCUCGUGCCCCACUUUCUCGACUUUCUACUCUGAGUCACCGAUGCCGUCACUAAUGUCGCAGGGCUCUCGAGACAAAGCAGAUUAGAUCAUGUCUGGAUGCCUCAUCUGGCCUGAGAAGCUAAACUUCUUAUUGAUAAUAAAGGAAGAAAGGAGGGGAAAAAA